AAGGAUUUGAAUCUGAAACUUGGCUGCAAGAGGAGGAAACCAAGUAAAAAGCGAAGAGUACCCCUUCGAGCAAUCAAAACAGUGUCUUUGGAAGCCAGAGGAGGGCGCUGCAGCCUCUGGAGUUAGAGGAAACUCACAGCUGCCUGACUGCAAUGCUGAGAACUGACCUCUGGUCCACUGAGAGAACACAAAGCACUCCUCAAAUCAUUGAGCCAUCUCUCCAGCCCCACACUGAUCCCACUUUUCUCUCUCAAGACAGCCUGGGACUCUAUGUAGACCAGGCUGGCCUCUGUCCCCUGACAGCUAGACAUACGUUUUGUAAGGACCCCAACGUCUACUGUGUUUGCAAAACCCAUUUCCAGUUUGCCUAAUAUCAGGAAGUAGCUUGAGCUAAGGAUUUCCUCCCUCACUCCCCAGGAGUGUCGGGCUGGAGAGAAAGCUCAGUGGUCAAGCGCAUGCGCGGCUAUCUCAGAGGACUCCAGCCUGUUUCCUAGCACACGUUAGGUCCUUAGGUCGCAAGCAUCCAUACCUCCAACCCCAGGGUAUCCGACACUCUCCUCCACCCUUUGCAAAUCCCUGCACUCACGUUUAAACACACUCCUGCGUAUGCUUAUGAAUCAAAAUAAAAUAAAUCUUUGGAAAUGUCUUGACACCCCCCCACACACACACACACGUAGUUGAAGAGCCUGUCAAAUUAAUGUUUGCAAAGUCUUGAGGAGGAGAGCCUCCAUGAGCACCACUCAAAUCGUGACUAAUGAAGAAAUAGCUGUUGACUUGAGAAGAAUCUAAUUAGCUGUGGAGAGAUGGGGUAAGGGGGCGUUGAGAUUUCCACGGCGGCCUUCAGGACUGUUGAUUUGGGUACAGUCCAGCAUCUCUAACGCGCUGUACCAGACAAAAGCUGCCCUCCCCCCUUCAAGGGCAACUUCUCGGCUUGCUUAGGAAGCAGAGUGGGAGCAAAGACAAAGGUUGUACAAAGUCUUGAUGGAGAGGAUGUAAAAAGAAGAAAGCCAUCAACACGUGAAGCACAGCCAAUACGGUACCGGCCCAUGGGGUGUGCUAUUCUACAAGCGCUCCAGAGCCGGAUGUGUGACCUUGGACAGCUCGAAGAGCAUGGGCCAAAUGACCCUUCUCUCCUAUCUAUGGGUGAGUCCUCACUGGACAACGAUUCUUCCUAGAAUUCGCGGUCAGUCCAAAGAUGGAGCAGUAACAAGCACGAAGGGCUAAACAUAGCAUGCAAUCUUGUGGGACAGUGUAGACAUGGCAUUUUUAUUCAAUGAAAACAGGAAGAAGGAACAUUCUGUCCUGGUCAGACAAAGCUUUGCAGACUGAAGAGAUGGCCCUAGCUUCCUGAACAGCAAUAAUUAACAUUGUCAGCGUAUUACAGAGCUGGCGUGUACAUGCUAAAAUACGACAUCUUGUCUCAAUCGUACUGUGUCCCUAGGGAAGGUAUUUCUCAAGUAUGUGUGGCCUCAAGCUUGGGCUCUGUGACACCACCUGAGCUCAAGUGCAAAGGUCAGUGUAAGGAUGGUCAACUGGUCCUCAGCUGGAGACACACCAAAAAUGUGCCGAUGGCCGCCUCCAACGCUAAAGUGGGGGGAAACCUUUACUGACCUGAAGGUUUUUGGUUAUUUUUGGUUCUCAUUGUUUCGGUAAAACACUUCAAAAAGGACGUUAUGGGAGAAGGGUUUAUGUGGCCUCACGGCUUGAGGGUAUUGUCCAUCUUGGCAAAGAAGCCACAGCAGCAGGAACACGAGGUGCCUGGUUACGCUGUAUCCACAGUCAGGGAGCCAACACAAGUGGACGCCAGUACUCAGCUUGCUUUCGUCUUUCAGUGGACCCCAACCCAUGAGUUAGUGCCACCAUGUUAGGGUGGGUCUAUCCUCCCUAGUGAAACCAUGAGAGGAAACUCUCACGGGUACCCAGAAUUGUCUUCCCAUUGUGAUGAUACAUCUAAUCAAGUUUGACAAUGCGAGUAAUUAUGACAUAAAAACGCUAAGUGAAUCCAAAGGAGACCACUUCUCUGGGCAGAAAAUUUGAUUUUAGAGACCUUUAAAACAGGAUGACUCCUACCUAAGUUAUUGCUGGCAACUCAUUGUCAGGUAUUUUAUACAUAAUUAUACCAGAGAGAGGAAGUUAUUCUUAAACAUCCACAGUUGAAUCUAUAUUUUAUAAACAUUGUAUAAUCCUACUAGAUGUUACCACUGAAACAAAACAGUCCCGGUAGGAAUGAGAAGGUGAGAAGGAACAAGAGAAGAAGGUUUCAAUCAUAAAAUAAGCAUAGUUCCUGAUGACCAUCAUCCCAAGGACCGCAGACCCAGCCAAUCACAGGCCCAGCCUACCACAGACCCAGCCAAUCACAGACCCAGCCUACCACAGACCCAGCCAAUCACAGGCCCAACCAACCAUAGGCCCAGCCAACCACAAACCCACCCAACCACAGACCCACCCAAUCACAGACCCAGCUAAUCACAGGCCCAACCAACCACAGACCCAGCCAAUCACAGAGUCAGCCAAUCACAGACCGAGCCUACCACAGACCCAGCCCACCACAGACCCAGCCAAUCACAGAUCCAGUCAAUUACAGAUCCAGCCAAUCACAGAGUCAGCCAAUCACAGACCCAGCCAAUCACAGAGUCAGCCAAUCACAGUCAACCAAUCACAGAUUCAGCCAAUCACAGAGUCAGCCAAUCACAGAAUCAGCCAAACACAGAAUCAGCCAAUCACAGAGUCAGCCAAUCACCGAUGCACAGGACUCAGGCUCAUACCUGAAAACAGUUUGCACUGCAGUUUUCUAAAAUAUGUCCAUUGUGUAUUCUAUGCAACACGUACAAUAUCAAUCUGAGGCCAUCUUUUCUCCUCCACAUAUUUACUGUGCAUCUUCAGCAAGCCAAUCAGUAAGCAGGUCAACUCCUGCACAAAUGCCUGUCUCUGUAACUUACAUUCCAGUGCGGCAGCGAGGUGCGGAUCCUACACGGCUAUAAACUUAUUGCACUGACUAGGUAUCAUAGAAUCAGGUUCUUUUAGAAUCCUGUGAGAACCUCACAGAUAAUAAGCAGGGUAAGGGGAGACGACUGGGGGACAUUUGUGUUCUGGAGUUCGUGGUGCUGAGUGUCGGAGCUGAGCUUAUCUCCAUAAGGGAUGGGGAGACGGACCUAAAACUACAAAGAUAGCGCGCGUGAGUUGCACACUCAGCACGGGUUCUCAUUUUGUCAUUACUAGAUUUGUGCACUGAGGGAGUUGUCAAAAUAUCUGCCUGUCACAGGCGCCUUUAAGACUGAAAACAAGGGGUGGGUGGAUAUGGGGGACUUUUGGUAUAGCAUUGGAAAUGUAAAUGAGUUAAAUACCUAAUAAAAAAUGGAAAAAAAAAAAAGACUGAAAACAAAAAAGUCUUAUAGAACCAUUAUGUGCCCAUGUCACUUCUUAGUCCCAUCUUCCUAUGGCCUCUGCCUCUAAGCCUAGCCUGGAAAGGUCCCUCGCUUUCAACUUUUAGGUUCGGUUCCCUCUGUAUUCAUAAACUCAAUCUCACUGCAAAGUCCCCUUUUCACAUAAGGGAACAUAGUGACACGUUUUUUAAACUAGCCAGUUGACUAGGGACCCUGUGAUUCCAUCCACCAGAGUUUGCUCUGUGACCUCUAAAGACAGACUCGUGUGCAGCAUACCUUAUCCCAAGUCCCUCAAGAGUCUCAGCCCAUUGUAGCCUCAGGCCAAAAUAUCACCAGCUCAAAUGUCCAGAAUCUCAUCAUCUGCUUCAUGUAAAUCAGAUGUGUGUGAGACCCUGGGUGGCGGUGUCCUGGGGGCAGUGUCCUGUAUCUUUCCCAAUGUAGCCAUUUAGAGAUAAGUGAGUUACUAUGUCUUCAAUAGCAUAUACAUUUUAUGAACUGUUUCCACUGUGUGAUACCAUUGUGUCCCCAGCAUUUUUAUGGAAUGUUCUUGUUUGGUUUAUACCAGGCUACAGUGGGGCUAGUACAGAUCUCAGUGUGUAGGAUACAGGCCAUUUCAUACUUGUCAUAUAUUCACAUAUUCUAAAGUGGGAUUUGCCCUGCAUGCAAGUAAAAAAUCAAAUGUGAAACUAAAUAAACAUAGACUUUAUGUCUCAAUAUCGUCUAGUCACUUAAAAGAUAGAAAUUCACAGAUCACUUAGGCUCCAAGUACCUGGGAUUUUAGCUUUAGCCAUCACACAGGUGCACACUAGUAUAAAUCCAGUAUAAGUCACACGCAGUCGGGAUUACAAAAACAUAUGUGUGUGUGCGUAGAUCAGAGGACAACUUACAGGAGUUGGUUCCUUCCUUCCAUCAUGUAGGUCCUAGGGACUGAAUUCAGCUUCUCAGCUGUUGGGUCACCUCACUGGCCCCUACAUUGGAGUUCUGAAAAGCACUUAGGAGCUAGCCUAGGACCUGGCACCUGUGAGGUUUGACUUAGUUCUGCCUGCCUGCCUGCAUCAGUGCACUUCAGAGCAGAAGCAAGGACAAAAAUGAAUUUGCCAUAUCUUGACAAUUCUUUUCCUUCAGUUAGAAAGAAAGAAAGAAGAAAGAAAGAAAGAAAGAAAGAAAGAAAGAAACAAAGAAAGGAAAGAAAAGAAAAGAAAAGAAAAGAAAAUCUUAUCACUGUCGUAAAAGUUUCCUUUUUAAGAAGAACCAUCCAGAUUACUAUUUGUUACAAACGCAGCGAAUUGAUAGUGAGAAUGGUGUUUGAACUUAAUGUUCACAGCCUGCUAACAAACUUGACUGAGCAGAGAGAAUGGUAUCAGCUAUAAAGAAUGUCUUACCCGGGAUCAGAUCAAAUAAGACUGAGACUGCUUACUUAUAUACUGAAAGCCAUGGUAAUGCAAGGUCAUUUCUAAGGGGCUGACGGGAUGGCUCAGCCUCUUGUAGAGAACUGGAGUUCAGUUCCCACCACCCAUAGUGGACAGCUCCAGGGAAGCUGAUGGACUUCUGGCUUCCAAGGGCACCUUCGCCCACACAUGGUAUAUACACAGACAUGCAAAUAAAAAUAAAAAUAAAAAUAAACCUUUUAAAAGAGAUGCUUUUAAAAAUACAGUAGCUUACGUGGUCUCAGUGUCGGUUUGUUUGAAGACUUUCUUAAUUUGCACAGAAGGAAAUGUCCUUUCUGCUUUACAUGGUGGGGGGGGUCCCCAAAGAAGCAUCUAAUAAAGUUCCGGUUUGCCAUCAAAGAUCUGCACAUCAAGUUUUUGUUAAACGUCUACAUAUUAUAACGUUGAAUAUUCAGUUAUGGAAUCAAAAGAUUAGUAACAACGAAAACAGUGACCCUUGGCAUUUAUAAGAAACAGCAUAGUUUUUAAAGGUACAAAUUGACCUAGAAGGCUCCAGAAAUAACUAAUAAUGAAUUAUUCAUGACAGAUGAAAGAUCUCUGGUUAUCUGAUGGGAUCUGAGCCUAACCAGUCGGUGAUCAUCGGCUGUCAGGAGCUGGGGCACUUCCCCAGGUGAGAGCUUGGAUCUUCCUGUUUCUUUGUUCACAAGACCAACUCCCCCCACCCCCACCCCAGUGAAGGAGUAGAAUCCCCCUAUGGUGGUGUUAAACUUUUUUUUAAAUCCUUUGACUUGACAACAUAUUUUCCAUAAUACUGAAAAGAUGGAUUCUCAGGCUUUUAGAAAACUACUCAUUUUUGCUUCUUGGGCUCUUUAGAGUCAAGUUUAAGAAUAUCCUUUCUUUUUCUUCCCUAGUGAAGACACUGAACACAUUCUUUACGUACAAAAGCUUCUGCUUUUUCGUCCUUUCACAGGUCCCAUCUUCCUUCCCAGCAACUCAGUGCUCGGCUUCCAAGGCCAAAUAAGAGGUUUUAGCAUGAAACCAUAGACGGAAUUUGGAACAGAAAAAAAUUAUUUUUAAAACAGAGCUGAAAGUUAAAAAGUAGGCUCUAAGAUCUCUUAGUGGAAUUGUGGCUUCCUUUGUUCUGGAUCCCCAUUUCCCCUAGUGAUUUUCAAACAAAGUAAAAACACAUUUUCACAGACACUGGUUGAGCCUGAACCAGCCUCCUCCACCGUUGUGUUUGAAUGUGAAAUAUCCUCAGAGGCCCAAGGGCUUUUUUGUUCAUGCUCCCAGCUGGUGGUGCUGUGAACCUUUUGCUAGAAGAACUGCAACACAUAGUGCAUCAUUGGGUGGGAGGGAGGUGUGGGGCUUGCAGCUUUACUCCUGCCCUCUCUGCACCUGUUUCCUGGUCCUUUCCUGGUCUGUGGAGAUGGGAGGGAUCCCGGCCACAUGUACCAACAGCCAUGAACUCUCCCAUGCCUCCCCAACCGUGACAACUGCACCCUCUCCCAACACAAGAUGAAGCCAAGCCAUUGGUCUUCCAGUUGCUUCUGUCAGGGAUUUUGUCACAGCUACGAGAAAGGUGACUAACUCAUUGGGUGACAAGGAGAGGACCAGGCAAGAAGAAAGGAUGGGCACAUUUGCUGAGCACCUAGGGCUGGGCUUGGAAUGCUGCUGGAACCCGUCAGAGUGCUAGGUGUUGUGGUGCCUGAGAUCAGAAUCCAUGGCUGACUUAGGACUGGGGCAGCUCCUUAGCCCUCAUCUGAGGCACUGUGAGCUCAUCUGUAGGAAGGGAUGGGUGGAGUUUGAACUCAGCCUUUCCCAAUAACUCCCCACUGCUCUCUUCCUCAAACCCAUCCUUAGCCGUGGCCAACAUCCUGUCUCAUGGUGAUCUGAGCAGUGAAUGUCUACAUACCUCAAGCUGAAAUGUCCUUAAAGAAAAGCUUAUUUAUUCACUUCUCUCUGUCUUUCUCUCCCUCCCUCUGUCUCUCUGUCUCUGUCUCUCUCUGUCUCUGUCUCUGUCUCUCUCUCUGUCUGUGUGUGUGUGUGUGGUGAAAGUGUGACAGUCGGAGGUCUACUAGCAGUAGUCAGUUCUCUCCUUCUAACACACACACACACACACACACACACACACACACGUUCUGGGGACAGAACACAGAUCAUCAGGUUGGAAGACAACCACCCUUACCGGCCGAGCCACCUUGCUGGCCGAACAGUACUUUGUUAGCAACCUGCCUAUUGGAGUUCAUGCUUGGAAAACUUUCAAGCUCUGUCCUGUAUUCAAGCUACUUUCUAUCCCUCCUCAAGCCUCUCCUCA